UUUUUUAAUUUGAGGCAGUGUCUGUCUUUGUCUCUGAGGUGGUGAAAGACCCCCGAAGGGAGACCCUCACUCAAGCCUCGGGAUAUGGCGCAGACCCAAAUGAGACGUGGAGACCG
rnacentral:pre_miRNA from 7 species